rnacentral:misc_RNA from 1 species
UCUCCGUAGGUGAACCUGCGGAGGGAUCAUUACAGAGUUCAUGCCCUACCGGGUAGAUCUCCCACCCUAUGUUAUUAUUACUUUGUUGCUUUGGCGGGCCGUUAGGCUCCGGCCCGACUACCGGCCCCGGCUGGUAAGCGCCCGCCAGAGGACCCAAAACCCUGAAUAUUAGUGUCUUCCGAGUACUAUAUAAUAGUUAAAACUUUCAACAACGGAUCUCUUGGUUCUG